rnacentral:rRNA from 1 species
GACGAACGCUGGCGGCGUGCUUAACACAUGCAAGUCGAACGAUGAAGCCGGAGCUUGCUCUGGUGAAUUAGUGGCGAACGGGUGAGUAACACGUGAGUAACCUGCCCUUGACUCUGGGAUAACUGCUAGAAAUGGUAGCUAAUACCGGAUACGACCCUCGGAGGCAUCUCCAGGGGGUGGAAAGAAUUUCGGUCAAGGAUGGACUCGCGGCCUAUCAGCUAGUUGGUGAGGUAACGGCUCACCAAGGCGACGACGGGUAGCCGGCCUGAGAGGGUGACCGGCCACACUGGGACUGAGACACGGCCCAGACUCCUACGGGAGGCAGCAGUGGGGAAUAUUGCACAAUGGGCGUAAGCCUGAUGCAGCAACGCCGCGUGAGGGAUGACGGCCUUCGGGUUGUAAACCUCUUUUAGUAGGGAAGAAGCGAAAGUGACGGUACCUGCAGAAAAAGCACCGGCUAACCACGUGCCAGCAGCCGCGGUAA